GUAGUUCCUUCCUGGUUCUGUGACCGGGGAGAAAAAUCUGACAAUCUGAUGAAUUUAAAAAUAAUAAAUUCAGAGGUUAGAAUUUAUUAUUUUUAAAUUCAUCAGAUUAUCAGAGAUUGGGAGAUUGGUGGGAAAUAAGAGUACAAAAACUCCUGCCGUGUGAUUAUAGAAAAAGGCUAAACAGCUGCGCUUUAGUAAUAUUUAACUUUCAGAUUAGAUCGUGACGAAUGAAAUCCAAGGAAGACUUUGGUCACAGCCUACUGUAAGCUAGACCAGACAAGUCAAUUGCCUUCCAUUCCAGUCGUUAUGGCAACCAGCGUCCUUGGUUACCGCUUCCCCAGGAAAUCACAGAAGUCAGGGUUUCCUCAGCUAUUUACAAUGAAAGAACCCCCUGGUUCUGUGUUCUGCCGGGACUGGAGCAUCCAGCACUGCCCGAAGGCCCGAAAAUAAAAAGCCAGAGUAGUGAGAGUCUCCUCCUUGUCGUGUUACAGUCUGCAGCGAAUCUCAGAACUGGAGGGAAUCCUCAGGCGUCUACUCAAUUCACAACUCAAGGAGUGGAAAAGGCAGUGGUUUAGAAGUCAAGACGGAGAACUCUAUCCUGAACUUGCCUGUGAUGCCGGGGCUGUUACUGUUGCUGCUGAUGAUUUUGGUGCUACUACUAGUGUUGCUGCUUUCUGAAGGGGAAAGAGAAGACCCACCAGAACAAGAAUAUUAAGAUGAAUUCCGACUGUCGACGGGAAUUGACCCCGGAACCUGGAUCCGGAAGAUACUGUGGUGUAGAAAAGGCGUAACAUGAAUCUUGAUCAAAAGGAGGGUCACCUACACUUUACUUUACAAAGCAGGAGCCACUAAAAUCCAGAGCAUGGGAACAGAAGUCCAAGUGAGAAACGUUCAAGUGGAACUUUUUACUCCUACAUCCUAAAUUCAGACUCUUCUCUCCAUUUCAGGUGCUUGGUAUUGGGAAAAAACACCAUGGCCCUUAUUAAGCACCAGAGAUGCAAGUUUUAUUUUACAGCCUAAUCAUUGGUUCAGCUCUUAGGAAGCACCUGAAAAUCAGUAUGUUCGGACCCAUUCUCCAUCCCUUCACACCUAUGCUUUCUGUUUUGGCAGGAACAGUUCCUUGAAGUGUAAGGGGGAUGUGGAAAAUUAGAGCGACAGGGUUUUAAUGAGGAAAGAAAAUGUUUUAAGUUGCCAUCUCAAUAUCCCUAGUGUUAUCGUAGAACACAUUAGGAGAUACUUCUCUCAAAAGUUACUUCUAAACAGAAAAGGUUUCCAAAUCUAAGCUCCUGUGAAAUCCUAACAUGAAAACUUUGGCAUGAAACUAGAGGAGAAGGCAGAUGUUACUUCAAAAUCUAAUUCAAAUCCCUCUUGAGGUCUCCCCUCACUUAAGUCAGCAAAUCUUCCCUCCAACUACUUAACCAAUGGAAUGAGCAAGACAUUGUCUGUAUGAAUGGAUUAUGUCUCAGGAAUCGCCUCCCUGACUGAUCUAGGCAAAGUUGUCAGUGAUGCACAUGAAAUCGCCAUUGACCAAAAAGUUAUAAUCUUACUUAA